CAGAUGAUUUUGAACCAGAGUAGUAAAAGAUUCUUUGAAUUUUAGAGAGCUGAUGUUUGGUGGAAAUCAGUAUUCAAAUCCUUUGAACUUGCUGGGGAGUCGAUAAGUAAUGUUAUCCGUAUUUCUUGCGUUAAAAGAAGAAAAGGGCAUAGAGAAAUCUAUGAACUAAGGUGGUACCGCGUUAAUAACGUCCUUAGA
rnacentral:ncRNA from 1 species